rnacentral:lncRNA from 1 species
CCUGUGUUCAUUUCUCCCUCAGGAGGGCUGGGGUGAUGAUCUCCGGCAGAUUCUUGGUGGCUGUUGUCCAGGUGUGGGACCCUCUCAAGGGCCUACAAAUUGUGGGAUUUUGACUUGUAAAGUGAGUAUGGUACAAAGUACCUUUGGGUGCCCACUUCUCUUCCCCUCUCCCCACAGAUGCCUGUGUGCUCCUACUUUCUGAAGGGGAUCUGCAGCAACAGCAACUGCCCCUACAGCCACGUGUAUGUGUCCCGCAAGGCCGAAGUCUGCGGUGACUUCCUCAAAGGCUAUUGCCCACUGGGUGCGAAGUGUAAGAAGAAGCACACACUGCUGUGUCCUGACUUUGCCCGCAGGGGUGUUUGUCCCCG